UCAGAGUCACAGCACAGUAGGAGGAUUGAAGUGCUGGUGGGAGAGGAUGUGCUGAGAAGGAGAUGGAGCAGGUGAGGAGAUGGGCUGGGGAGACAGAUGGGCACUCCUGAGCCCUCUGUCUCUGCUCUGAAGGGGCCACAGCCUCCAGGCUGCCAGACUCCCUGGCAAGGCUUCUCCCCCCUCCUCCUCUCUUGCAUGAGUCCUGUGAAGGAUGGAGCAACAGUCUUCCUGGGGAGAGGAAGUGAGCUGUUCUGUCACACUGCCCUGUAUGUGGCCCUGGCACAUCAUGUGGUUCCAGAGACAGCCAGCUCCGGACCAGCUACCGAAGAAGGAAAAGCAGAGGGAUCCUGGUGUGGAGAUGGGGACUUAAUCUAACUUUAUCCCACUCUUUCUUCUCCUUCAGCCCUAACCAGAUUUCCUAACCAAAUUUCCAGCCCUAACCAAAUGAGCUUUCCUCAGAUCUCCAAAGAAGCCACUUGGGGUUACAACAGUUGAGUGUUAAAGAAAGUAUGCAUUUAGCAAGUGGCCGAAGACAUUUGCUGAGAUGCUUGUCCUCUGACGCCCUGCAGCUUGACUGCUGUAAUGGGAGAGAUAUGUUGGCUAUAUUUAUGCAGUCAAGCCUCCGAAGAGAUGGAAUUUAUCUGGACAUCACUGGAAAACAAAUUUUGUUGUGAAACCUCUGAAGAUGUGUUUUCUCGAGAGCAUCUGAAAGGAGGAGUUUACAGAGCCAUCCUUCUAAGGGUCUGUGAUUCCAUUGCCUUUUUGGUGGUGCUCCUAAUUCCUUCAUGACCCGGCUGAUACAACUGUGAACUAGGAAGUAGGAUUCAACCAAGACUCCAACUUGCAGGCCCCUUGAUCAGUGCUUUGCCUCUAAAUAACAAGUUUAGCUGACUAAAAAGACCAGGUGUCUAAUCGACUUGGCUGGUUGUGCUGACAGAUAUUUGAUGUGACAUCCAUUGACUACACUGAUGGGAAUUUGAAUAAGUUCAAGUCAAAAUGUUUGAAUUCAUCAGUGGGGAGUGUCAACCAAUUUUUGCUCUGGAGAAAGCACUCAAAUGUCUGCAUUUUACAAUGAGGAAGUACAAGCUGUUUGGCCUCAAGAAAUAAGUGAUCCAAGAGGAGAUUUUUUUGAAAGGACCUGAGUGAUAUUUUGUGUCUUCUGAUCUCUUGUAAGAACCUGAGUUUGUUCAGGAAAGACCAACUCAUGUGCCCAUUACAAUUACAUGGUCUCUGGGGGAAAGUAAAAGCAGUGGAAGUGAU